GGUGUCAACUUUCACAAGUACCGAAAGUAACAGGUAUCAAAUGUCACAGGUAUCAACUUUUAAAAUUUCAGUAAGUAACAGGUAUCAACUUUCAUAAGUACCGAAAGUAACAGGUAUCAAAUGUCACAGGUAUCGACUUUUACAAGUAUCGAAAGUAACAGGUAUCAACUUUUUCAAAUACCGAAAGUAACAGGUAUCAAAUGUCACAGGUAUCAACUUUUACAAGUUCCGAAAGUAACAGGUAUCAAAUGUAACAGGUAUCAACUUUCAUAAGUACCGAAAGUAACAGGUAUCAAAUGUCACAGGUAUCGACUUUUACAAGUAUCGAAAGUAACAGGUAUCAAAUGUCACAGGUAUCAACUUUUACAAGUGCCGAAAGUAACAGGUAUCAAAUGUCACAUGUUUGUAAUAUCACUGUGCCUCAUUAGCCACGGAAUCACUCGCUCAGCCUAACUAAAGCAGUGAAAUGUCUACAAUCUACGUCUGCAAAGUUUAAAAGCUAAAGUCAAAGUCUUUACUGAGAUCAACUAGUCUAAAAUUGGUCUUGUUUUAUAAUCAAAUGAAAAUAUUUUCUUCGCUUUUAAAAAUUUGAGAAUUCCUUGCACACUAUAUUAACUGAUUCGAAGUUAACAAUUAACAAGUUAUUA